rnacentral:lncRNA from 1 species
UCUUCUUCUUCUUCUUCUUCUUCUUCUUCUUCUUCUUCUUCUUCUUCUCCUUCUUCUCCUUCUCCUUCUUCUCAUCCUUAUUCUUCUUUUUCUCCUUCUUCUUCUUCUUCUUCUUCUUCUUCUUCUAGUUUUAUUCUUCCUCUUCUAUUUUUAUUCUUCUUCUUCUUCUAACUUUAUUAUUCUCAUUUUGUAGAUAUCAUUCACUCAUGAAAGCUGCCAUUCAUGGAAGCCAGCAUUGAUGGUUGCUACUGUUUAAUUUUUGUUUUGAUUUGUUUUGAUGAACAGUAUGAAACUAUGUGUAUGUAUGGAGAUAA